rnacentral:rRNA from 1 species
UACAGAGGGGGCAAGCGUUGUUCGGAAUUACUGGGCGUAAAGGGCGCGUAGGCGGCCUGUUAAGUCGAACGUGAAAUCCCCGGGCUCAACCCGGGAACUGCGUCCGAUACUGGCAGGCUUGAAUCCGGGAGAGGGAUGCGAAAUUCCAGGUGUAGCGGUGAAAUGCGUAGAUAUCUGGAGGAACACCGGUGGCGAAGGCGGCAUCCUGGACCGGCAUUGACGCUGAGGCGCGAAAGCCAGGGGAGCAAACGGGG